UACAGAGGUCUCAAGCGUUGUUCGGAUUCAUUGGGCGUAAAGGGUGCGUAGGUGGCGGGGCAAGUUUGGUGUGAAAUCCCGGGGCUCAACCUCGGAACUGCACUGAAUACUGCCUUGCUAGAGCACUGGAGAGGGAACUGGAAUUUACGGUGUAGCAGUGAAAUGCGUAGAUAUCGUAAGGAAGACCAGUGGCGAAGGCGAGUUCCUGGACAGAUUGCUGACACUGAGGCACGGAAGGCUAAGGGAGCAA
rnacentral:rRNA from 1 species